UGUACGGCAGAUGCGGCAGCCGGGGAAAGACGGAGGGGGCGUGUGUGUUUCGGAAUUAUUGGGCGUAAAGGGGAGGUAGGGGACUGUUAAAGUGAAAGGUUAAAUCCCUGGGCUCAACGGAGGAACUGCCGUUUAAACUGAGAGGCUUGAGUCCGUGAGGGGGUAGCGGAAUUGCCAGUGUAGCGGUGAAAUGCGUAGAUAUUGGGAGGAACACCAGUGGCGAAGGCGGCUACCUGGACCGGAACUGACGCUGAUGCGCGAAAGCGUGGGUAGCAAACAGGAUUAGAUACCCGGGUAGUC
rnacentral:rRNA from 1 species